AAUGAUAAAAAUCCUACAAAUGGGGGCUCGUCCGGGAUUCCCCUAGUGCGGUUAUCCCGGGAAAAGUGAAAUGCGGAAAACUGUGGAAAACGAUAAAUACAAGUGGUGUGAGAGAUAGCGAGUGCAGCAUAUAAUCAAAAAGAAUUGCGAAAAAAAACUGUGAAACAUAGCACAAACUAUACAAUAAAUCGGAAAAGUGGUGGUACAUAAAGACCACGAAGGUACUGUACCUGUACCUACAGUCCAAGGAGCGUUAGAGCGUUAGGCGAUUCCGUUAGAACGCCAAUGACUAACGGCUCGCUCACGGAAAUAGCAGUACUGCUACUUGGUGAAACAUUUGCACCAAUAAGAAGACGGCAUCGGCAACAGUGUGAAAUCGAAACACACGAAGCAAGCGGUAGCGGUAUAUAAGUAUAUACAGCGGGGCACAUAAGCAGACAACGGCAGCGACGAGUAUAUAAGUACGCAGCAAACACCAAGCGCAUCAGCAGACACGAGAUCAGAGAUAUACAACGGUGGUUCAGCGGCAGCGGCGUCGGCAUUCACGGCAACAGAGUUCAACGGAUGUUGAAUGCGACGCAGAGUAGCAGGCAUAGCAGAGGGUGAACGGCGGGAGCAGAACAACUAAGAUAAGAUUUUUGAAUAUUGUAGUAGUUAGAAGUAUACGUACACAUACAUACAUAUAUCGAUAUAUUCAGUGAAGUAUUUAGAAGUAGUACAGCAUUAACUGUAUCAUUUAAACGCUAUUGUAUUCUUACAGCAUUUUGUAUUUAACAUAUGUAUGUAUGUGUGCAUUGUAGUAAUACCCCAGCAGAUUUAAAAGCGAGAUCUCCUGAAAGGAGGAAUGAAGGAGUCCUCCUAUUGACCUCUUUUAGGAGCAGUAAGGGAGAUUUUUUAAUUUUGUUCUUAUAUUGUGUUUUUUUUUUAUAUUUUAUUUUAGUGUUGACCUCCUUUUGUCAUCUUUUAGGAGCAAAAAAGGAGAUUUUAUACUUCUAUUGUGAUUUUUUUUACUUCAUUUUAGUAUUGAUCUCCUUUUGUCCUCCUUUAGGAGCAAUAAAGGAGAUUUUUUAAUUUUUCGUAGCUUAAAAAUCGUACUUUUGAUUCAAAAAUUACAAUUUAACGGGAAAUAAUAACUGUUAUUUUUUGUCUUCAAGCGAUUGUUCAUUUCAACUGUGUUUUUUAAAGCGUGCAGACAUAAAUAAAAUGACGUCACAAAAUAAUUUUUUAUUCAAUUCUCUCGAAUGCGGAAGUUCUUCAAUUUUAAGUGGAGAAAAUAUCAAUGUGUCCACCAUUACUUCCCGAAACACCUCCUCCUGGCAGAAAAACAUGGAACAAAGAAUACGGAAGCUAGAGGAAAUAUCGGCGCAGAACACUAUACUCCUGGAGCGGAUUAUUGACAUAUUGCAACCGAAGAAGAUUGAUUUAAUGAUAUUUCCUAUUAAAAGCAUAAAUGAUUUAGCAUCUACAGAGUCCUUGCUUUUGAAUAAGCCUGAGGCAGAAAUUGUGGCGUAUCUGAAGCAAAA